rnacentral:lncRNA from 1 species
AGUCUGCCUGGCAUCUCUCUGGACACUCCAUCAAUAUCCUUGUCUUCCGUAUGUUUCAGGGUGGGGAGGAGUGAGCCAUGAACUCAACGGCCUGCCUUCUUCAAUACUUCACAUCCUAAAGUGCUUUGUGGUCAACAUUUUUCACUAAGGCCAGAAAAGAUGAAAGACUGAUUUUUCACCCGUGGCCCUGCCCUUCUGCGUGUGAGAAACAGGUGUGCAAGGAUGGUGGAACACACAAACCAAACUCGGAUCCUCGCCGUUUCAGACUGCGCGCCCCGCGCAUCUGCGCCUGCGCACCCCGAGGCGGGCAUGCGCAGGGGGAGCGCGGUUGCCUGGGAGACCCUGUUACCUGGGCGCCUGAGGACCAGCAAGUUGGGCUCUGCCACCUCUGUGAUGCCACUCGGCGGGGUCCGGGCACCCAGCGCUGAGGGCCACCCAGGCAGGACUUGCCUCUUCAGCCUGGGCCCUGAGACGCAGUUUACCACUAAGAGACAAUAUCUGUAA